AAUUAUAUUUGGCUCAUCUCGAUAUAUAUCUUUUUCACUAACGACCGACAGCGUGCUUUAUUUGUCUUUAUCAAACGCUCUCUUUAAGGCGCAUAGUUGACGCAAUUCAAUGAACUUUUUCUGAGGACUACUCAGCGUAGUGAAGAGCUUUUGCCUGCGUAAAUCAACAUAAAAUCAACAACUCGCUUUGCAAGUUUGCCCCGUGCAUGUCAUAUGGACCAUAAUAUGCCGCGUGGCGGACGUUUGUUGACAAAUCAUGUACAGAACUGCGCAGUUGCACAAGCUGUUCAGGCCCAGUGGGUGCAGUUACCUAGCAGUCCAGUUUCGCGGUUCCAUCGUCAGUAAAGGACAAAGUUUAUUCUUGGUGUGCAAGGCACAGCGACGUCGGGAUCACCAGCUCGACUAAGGCUAACGAUGGCGGCCACACGAUGAGAUCGCUGCUAGACACUAGAUAGGAAUCCACCUUGUCUCGUUUACGUACGUCCUGCAAAAGCUUACAAGUAUCGUUGACGUUAAUAGUCCUUGUUUCUUGCUUUCAACGGCGGUGGCCCUCUCCGCCAGCGUUAUCUCCGUCAUCGCCUCCUGUCAAAGCACUCAAUGAUUGGGCCGCGUUCAUGAAGCAGUCCUUUAUAUCGCAACGAGUUUGAAACAAGGUACAAAUUUGACUGCAACCCCGACAGCCGUGCGGCCUUUGGAUAGCACACCUUUGACUUUUUC